rnacentral:rRNA from 1 species
AACGCGUUGGGAGCUCUCCCAUAUGGUCGACCUGCAGGCGGCCGCGAAUUCACUAGUGAUUCGUAUUACCGCGGCUGCUGGCACGGAGUUAGCCGAUCCUUAUUCAUAUGCUACCGUCAUAUUCGUCACAUAUAAAAGCAGUUUACAACCCUAAGGCCUUCAUCCUGCACGCGGCGUUGCUCCAUCAGGCUUUCGCCCAUUGUGGAAAAUUCCCUACUGCUGCCUCCCGUAGGAGUCUGGGCCGUGUCUCAGUCCCAGUCUGGCUGAUCAUCCUCUCAGACCAGCUAUCGAUCGUCGCCAUGGUGAGCUUUUACCUCACCAUCUAGCUAAUCAGACGCGGGCCGAUCCUUCAGCGAUAAAUCUUUCUCCUUUCGGACGUAUCCGGUAUUAGCCAAAGUUUCCCUUGGUUGUUCCGAACUGAAGGGCACGUUCCCACGUGUUACUCUCCCGUCUGCCACUCCCGUAUUGCUACGGGCGUUCGACUUGCAUGUGUUAAGCCUGCCGCCAGCGUUCGUUCUGAGCCAUGAUCAAACUCUAAUCGAAUUCCCGCGGCCGCCAUGGCGGCCGGGAGCAUGCGACG